AUUGAACGCUGGCGGCAUGCUUUACACAUGCAAGUCGAACGGUAACAGGCCGCAAGGUGCUGACGAGUGGCGCACGGGUGAGUAAUGCAUCGGAACGUGCCCAGUCGCGGGGGAUAACUACUCGAAAGAGUAGCUAAUACCGCAUACGAUCUAUGGAUGAAAGCGGGGGACCGUAAGGCCUCGCGCGAUUGGAGCGGCCGAUGUCAGAUUAGGUAGUUGGUGGGGUAAAGGCUCACCAAGCCAACGAUCUGUAGCUGGUCUGAGAGGACGACCAGCCACACUGGGACUGAGACACGGCCCAGACUCCUACGGGAGGCAGCAGUGGGGAAUUUUGGACAAAGGGCGCAAGCCUGAUCCAGCAAUGCCGCGUGCAGGAAGAAGGCCUUCGGGUUGUAAACUGCUUUUGUACGGAACGAAACGGCUCUGGUUAAUACCCGGGGCUAAUGACGGUACCGUAAGAAUAAGCACCGGCUAACUACGUG
rnacentral:rRNA from 1 species